rnacentral:lncRNA from 1 species
GUCUUUUUAGUUGGAAGAUAGCAUGUAUGUCGUUUUUUGGUGAAUUCAUGUUUGUGGUAAAAUCCUUUUUUGAGUUUUUUUUCUGCUUCGUAACAUCUAUCUUUAUGUUUCCUUCACUCAAUGUUUGCGCUGUACUUCUUUUUGUUUCGUAGUUAUUUGCCUAUGUGAACUGGUCUGACUUCAUGUGUAUUGGCUUUUACCAAUUAGACUUCAAAAGCAGAUAGCUUUUACAUUAUGAAUUUG